GACGAACGCUGGCGGCGUGCUUAACACAUGCAAGUCGAACGGAAAGGCCCUGCUUUUGUGGGGUGCUCGAGUGGCGAACGGGUGAGUAACACGUGAGUAACCUGCCCUUGACUUUGGGAUAACUUCAGGAAACUGGGGCUAAUACCGGAUAGGAGCUCCUGCUGCAUGGUGGGGGUUGGAAAGUUUCGGCGGUUGGGGAUGGACUCGCGGCUUAUCAGCUUGUUGGUGGGGUAGUGGCUUACCAAGGCUUUGACGGGUAGCCGGCCUGGGAGGGUGACCGGCCACAUUGGGACUGAGAUACGGCCGAGACUCCUACGGGAGGCAGCAGUGGGGAAUAUUGCACAAUGGGCGGAAGCCUGAUGCAGCAACGCCGCGUGCGGGAUGACGGCCUUCGGGUUGUAAACCGCUUUCGCCUGUGACGAAGCGUGAGUGACGGUAAUGGGUAAAGAAGCACCGGCUAACUACGUG
rnacentral:rRNA from 1 species